AACGAACGCUGGCGGCAUGCCUAACACAUGCAAGUCGAACGAGACCUUCGGGUCUAUUGGCGCACGGGUGCGUAACGCGUGGGAACCUGCCCUUAUGUUCGGAAUAACUCCCCUAAAGGGGUGCUAAUACCGGAUAAUGUCUUCGGACCAAAGAUUUAUCGCCUUUGGAUGGGCCCGCGUUGGAUUAGCUAGUUGGUAGGGUAAAAGCCUACCAAGGCGACGAUCCAUAGCUGGUCUGAGAGGAUGAUCAGCCACACUGGGACUGAGACACGGCCCAGACUACUACGGGAGGAAGCAGUGGGGAAUAUUGGAAAAGGGGCGAAAGGCUGAAAAAGCAAUGCCGGGUGAGUGAUGAAGGGCUUAGGGUUGUAAAGCUCUUUUAAACGGGAUGAUAAUGACAGUACCGGGAGAAUAAGCACCGGCUAACUACGUG
rnacentral:rRNA from 1 species